ensembl:lncRNA
AACAGAAGCCGCCAAACAGGAAAGGGGCAGAACCAGCAGUGUCUGUUUGCUUUCGCUUUGCUUUCAUUUUCCGCCCUCUGGAGCUGCUGCAGCGGGGCCAUGGCCCUCAGCUCUCUGUGCAGGAGCAAAGCCCCAGGGCAGGGCAGUUCCAGCAGCCAGCCCAGGAAUUCCAGGGUCACCGGCCAGGGAGGGGCUGCGUGGUGGGUUUGUCCCAGCCCCAAUCCACGUGUGUCACAGAUGGGGGUCCUGCAGGAGGGGUCAGCUCACACGGGCACAGCGGGCCUCAUUCCUCCUGAGGAAGCGACGGAGCAUCACCGGAGCACCAGUGGAGGAGCAUCGCUGUGGUCAUGGAGAGCCCCAGCUACACAGGACCACUUGGGAUGGUCAUGCAGAUGAUGCUGCUGCUGCAGCACAGCCUGUUUUCAGUCGUGCUGCGGUUCCGGCGGCUGCGGAAGAUCUGCCGGAGGUUGGGGAAGAAGAGGAGAGCGCCGAGCGCCAGGAGGAAGAAGGGGAGAGAUGCUUGCGGGAAGGACGGAGCAGCAGGGAUGCCGUCGCCGACCUGGGAGUUGCGGACGAGCCCACGGGAAAGGAGCAGGAAGCCACCCCGGGCCCCGCUGGCAUCCAUGCUGUCCCUGGGCUCCCUCGAUGAAUCUUCUUCCUCCUCCUGUUCCUCCCUCUACUCCUCCCCAGAGCCCUGGCCUGGUGCAGUUGGUGCAACUGUCAGAGUUGGCUGCCCUUGCACCUCGGAUCGCCCCAGAGCCACAACCAGAGCCUGAGGCAGAGGCAGAGCCAGAGGCAGAGCCAGCCCUGUGCCCAAGCCCAGAGCCCUUGGCUCUCCCAGCAGCAGCCCCCAGCCCCCUUCACUGCCCACAGCCAAGUGAGCAGAGCUCCCCCAGGAAUGGAGCGCAGAGCCCCAUGAAGUCCUCCCUGCCGCACUGCUCCCACACGGAGCUCAUCCAGGAGCUGCUCUGUGCCAUCUGUGAGAACCACGCGGCUGUUGAGCGCCGCUGCCAAUUGCUGUGGGCAGUGCUGGAUCAUUGGGGGGCAGCCAGGACCCCUAGGGAGGCCAACCAGGAGCCCCCAGGACCCUCCCCAGAAUCUAUCUGCGCGUAUGGAUGGAUGUCCUUGGUACUGGGAGGUGGCAGCUGCUGGAGGGGGACAUGGACGUGGAUAUAGACAUGGAUAGAACAGGGAUAAAGACAUGGAUGUGGACAUGGAUACAGACAUGGAUGCAGACAUGAACAUGGACAUAGUUGGGUGCAUACACGUGGAAGCAGAUGAGAGCACCCAAAUUUAGCUGGACCAGAGCAUCCUGAUGGACCCAAGCAGGACCAGCCCUAUGGAUUCUUGCAGAAACAUCCCCAUGGAUCCAUGGACGCCAAGCUGAGUGGUGCAGUUGACAAAGCGGAAGGAAGGGACGCUACUGAAGAGGGACACAGACAUGAAUAUGAACAAUCACAAGGACAUGGACAUGGAUGCGGACAUGAACCUGGACACAGAUGGGCACCCAGAAGUGGGAGCAGACGGGAGCGCCCCAAAGGAUGUGGACCAGAGCGUGCUGAUGGACCCAGGCAGGAUCAGCCCGAUGGAUCCACGCAGAAACAUCCCCAUGGAUCCAGACAGGGCCAUCCCGGCAGAUGCAGGCAGGACCAACCCAACGGGGUGCCUCUGGGGUCCCAAGGGCACGGCCCAUCUGCGGGUGACCCCGGGGCUGUGCCGGGCCAGGCAGCGCCUGCAGCACAGCUUCUCCAGGCUGUGGCGGUGGGUGCAGGAGCGCUGGAGGCACUGCCGUGCACAGCCCUUUUGGCAGCGCUGGUCCUCCGUGGGGAGGAAGACUCCCUGAGCCCGAGUGUGGGGCCCGGCAAUGCCACAGCCCCACCAUGCUCCCUCCGGCUCAGACCACUGAAGGGCUUCUGAUAAUCUGCUUUCUAACCUAAACCUCCCCUCUUUUUGCUUAAAGCCACUCCUCCUUGUUCUAUCACUACACCCCUCAAAGGGUUCCUACAGCCCUGUUCUGCUCUGAGAUAUCCAUACAUACACACUAUGCACAGCCCCAGGGAAAGGC